AGAUCAAGAUUUGGCCACCCUGAAAUCUCUCUCUUUACCUUGGUUGUUUUCUCUGAGGACAUUUGACCUCUCCCAAACUGCCUAAAGAAUUUAAAACAAAAGAUCUGUUUCAGGAAGGAGUUAUUAUCAUGAUGGCUGUAAAAUAGAUGUUACAAUAGGAAAGGCACCAACAAGCCCAUCUUAUCGGAAGUUCUGUCUCUCUGGCCACAUUCUCUGGAUGGCCCUGCAAGGAGUUGCCAGACAAACAUUUACAUUUAUAAGGGAAAUCUCCAUUUGUAAAGGUAUCUCCCUCUCUGUAUUGGGAAGAGGGGGGAUGACCUCAUUUCUAGAGGCUUAUCAGUGUGGAAGGUGAGGCCUUAAAUCUGUAUAAUAACCUUACUCUUGUUUACUGUGCUUUAGUGGUAAUCUCCUGUAACUGACUCCCCCCACCCCCAACAUCCUCCUUUGUCAUUGGCUGAACAUGGUAUUUAAGAUGAGAAUUUCUGCGAUUGUGUUGAGAAGCGCAGUGUCCCUGCUUUCUCCCAUGUAUACACGUUAUUAAACUUGGUAUUAUUUUCUCCUGCUAACCUGUCUUGUUAAUUAUUUGGCCAGCCAUAAGAACUUUAAGGAAAAGGGCAGAGGGAGAUUCUCCCUCUCUCCCGACGACAGUUUUGGCAACGAGGAUGGGAUGCUAACUGGCUGGCAAGUUGCCUUCUCUGGCUGGAAGAACUGCCUUCUCCCUGGACUACUGCAGAUGAUGAGAUAUGGGAAUGCCUGACAAAAGCCGGCAAAAAGCCAUAAGAACCUUAAGGAAAAGGGCAGAGGGAGAUUCUCCCUCUCUCCCGACAGCCUCAUACCAAGGCCCGCACCUGAUGGUUCCUGGAGCCCCUGACAGAUCCUGGGACUCCUCCCUCUGCUGAUGUCACCAGCUCAGACCAAGGCCUUCACCUCCCUGGGACACUCCAAACAAAAGUAAAAAGACACCAAAUCCAGCCACCUCU